GGUUGCGUGCGCGUGUGUGUGCAGUAUGUACAAUGCAUAGAUAUAGCCUAAGCUUCAUUUGGGUCUAUUCAAAUUAACUGAAUAGAUGGUUUGCGACAGGUACCUAUAACACACACUUGUGUCUCUUGAAAGCAUCUCCAAGUGUCAUUUAGAACUUAUUUAAUGAAUGCAUAAUAAAAUUAAUAAGAUACAGUGCUGGCCAGAACAUAAUCUUUUAACAACGGCCACAUCCAAUGAAACAAUAUGUUUAGCUGGCAGCAAACGUUGUAAGUCAAUGAAACCGAGACCUAUCAGCACCAUUACGUAAUUAAUGUUUACGACAUAAUUCCUGCAGCCGCAGUCGCGCAUACACGCGCAAGAUUUCACGCGCAAAAACCGUUACAACCGUUGCAGCGCGAGCACAGGGACUGAGACGAACAGCGCACCUAUCUGAGGUAAAACCUAACAAUUUUACUACUCACUUUAUAAAAAAUUGAAGAUAACAUUAACGUUAUAGCCUUAUGUUAAUAUUGAAGCGUGGGCUGCAUAUUUUGAGUGUUUUUGAAGAACAUAUCUAAGACUGGAUGUCUGGAAAUAAUGGGAAUCUUCAGAUAUGAAUCACAAACGUGAUGUUUUGAUAUAGUACUGUAAAUACAUUAUUAAUAGUAUAUAAAUGUAUAUUUAUCUUUGCAAAUGAACUUUUAUGUGAUAUAAUUCUCCUCUAAACUGCAAUUAUUUUUCUAGGGACUGAAACAAAUAUGAGCACAGAAGUUAUUCAAUGGACUCAAGAUAUUUUGCACUCAAGAUGUGACUGGUUGACUGGAAAAAGUUUCCACAAAUUUAUCCUAAUUUCCUAAUUAUUUCAAGGUUGAUCUCACAGGAAUGCCUACUCUUUUUAACUGUGUCAUAUGCAGCAAACAAACAUUUUCUAUAAACAGACAUAUUGGCCUUUAUCACCAAAAUAGCCCAAAAUUAGAAUUCACACGUGGAUUAAAUAGUUGUGGCAAAAUAAACAAAAUCUUCAGUUCCUAUAGAUUAGGUUAAAAUGUAUGUUUGCUGCAAUAUAUAAUUCAGCAUGCAAUUUUGUUAAAAUGAUCAUCUUCUACUCCUUGUUUUAGAGAAUGAAAUUGAUGGGGAUACUGAGAAUAUGAGCUAAAUGUUUUCCUAAAAUAAAGGAUCAAGUUAAAUUCAUUAGACUACACAGAAACAAAUAAAGACUGAAAUGCCUACCAAGACUACACACAUCAGUCAUGAGUGUCCAACAAGUUACCAAUUAAACAAGGUGUGAUUAUCCCUUGUCACCAAAUACCAGUUCUUGAGAGACUGGUAAGAGAAUGGAACCACAAGAUUUCAUCAAAACUCCAACAGAUAACCAGUGCAGAGGUAAAGCAUGUCAGACAAAGUGACACCUUAAUGGACAAUUAUAAUUUUAAAAUGCUUUGUGUUUUUUUAUUUAAAAAAACUGAGGAAAACCAAGACAUGUACAGCAUAGAAAGAGAUAAUUGUCACAAACAGACUGAUCUUCAGGAUUCAGUAAAAGCAGCAGUGGCGGCUCGUGACUGCUCAUCCGAAGGGCCCUAAUUCCAAAUAAGUGUUCGGAGUGUCAUGUGUGUUGCUUGCGUUUUCAAAAUAUGUGUUGGUUGCAUCAUGUGAACCAUGUGCAUCACGUGUUUUGUCAAAGUAAGUGCCUGCUGCAAACGCGUCAAAACCAUUUAUGAUAAAAGAGAUGCUCAUGUUCACAAAAUACACACAAGACACUCCCUUAACAGUAAACUCUGAUUACGCAAGAGAUUAUGCGAGUAUCUGGCAAACGCGAGUGUCUCUUUUAUCAUAAACCCUUUAGACACGUUUGGAGCAGGCACUUAUUUUGACAAGACACGUGAUGCACACAGGAUCUCUCAUAGCACAGAACACAUAUUUUGAAAAAAGGAACCACACACAUCACGAGCUACAUACAUGUUGUGACGAACUUCACAUUGAGCGCUCUCAAAAAAAGAAGUCACCGGCCGCCACUGAAAAUCAGUAAAGUUAAUAAUGCAAACAUUUGUGGAAAGUCUGAGCAGGGGAAUAUGAUUACAGCAUUGGGUGCACUUUGAAAAAGUGAAAACAAGAAUGCUUGAAAAAACACCAAAUAUUAAACUUUUUAGAGGACUGCAUGGCAUAGACAAUGACUGAGAGGACUAAAUCCCUAUCCAGCCCUUAAAGUCCCUUCAGUUCUUGCAUUUGAGGUCCAAAGCAUACUUGACACAGACAUCAAAAGAAACAUGCUGAAGAAUCUAGGCCUGGUGGCACAGAAAAAGAUUAAUGAGUGCCACAGAAGACAGGUUGGAGUGGAUAUCUGUAGCGAACUGGAUGAAGCAAAACAAGCCUAAAUUGAUU